rnacentral:rRNA from 1 species
GAUGAACGCUGGCGGCGUGCCUAAUACAUGCAAGUCGAGCGAACAGACGAGGAGCUUGCUCCUCUGACGUUAGCGGCGGACGGGUGAGUAACACGUGGAUAACCUACCUAUAAGACUGGGAUAACUUCGGGAAACCGGAGCUAAUACCGGAUAAUAUAUUGAACCGCAUGGUUCAAUAGUGAAAGACGGUUUUGCUGUCACUUAUAGAUGGAUCCGCGCCGCAUUAGCUAGUUGGGAAGGUAACGGCUUACCAAGGCGACGAUGCGUAGCCGACCUGAGAGGAUGAUAGGCCACACUGGAACUGAGACACGGUCCAGACUCCUACGGGAGGCAGCAGUAGGGAAUCUUCCGCAAUGGGCGAAAGCCUGACGGAGCAGCGCCGCGUGAGUGAUGAAGGUCUUCGGAUCGUAAAACUCUGUUAUUAGGGAAGAACAAAUGUGUAAGUAACUAUGCACGUCUUGGCAGUACCUAAUCAGAAAGCCACGGCUAACUACGUG